UAACAAAGUAAAUGCCAUCUUUGGAGAUCUCCCAUAUGCCCCUGAAGAGCCUCCUGCAACCAUCCCAUCUCCAAGUGAUCUAAUGGGCAAAAUUAUUCUCAAGGGUAAAAGACUUGCCACAGUAGGAAAUGCAGUGCCAGAAAAUGAAGAGGAACAUGAAGUCAGUGAUUAGGAUGAAACAGCUGAAGUACAGGAUGCAACUUCACAGGAGAAAGAACGGGCACCAAAGAAAAAGUCCAAAUUGAAGUUAUCUCCCAAAUUCUCAGCAAUUGUUCUGAAUGAAGGCUGUCAGCUGUAAAGGAAUAGAGGAAAC